CCUACGGGAGGCUGCAGUGGGGAAUAUUGGGCAAUGGGCGCAAGCCUGACCCAGCAACGCCGCGUGAAGGAAGAAGGCUUUCGGGUUGUAAACUUCUUUUGUCAGGGAAGAGUAGAAGACGGUACCUGACGAAUAAGCCACGGGUGGGUACGUGCCAGCAGGCGGGGUAAUACGGGGGGGGCAAGCGUUGUCCGGAUUUACGGGGUGUAAAGGGCGUGUAGCCGGGUUGAAAAGUCAGAUGUGAAAUCCUGCGGCUUAACCGCAGAACUGCAUUUGAAACUGUUGAUCUUGAGUACUGGAGAGGCAGAUGGAAUUCCUAGUGUAGCGGUGAAAUGCGUAGAUAUUAGGAGGAACACCAGUGGCGAAGGCGGUCUGCUGGACAGCAACUGACGGUGAGGCGCGAAAGCGUGGGGAGCAAACAGGAUUAGAUACCCGAGUAGUC
rnacentral:rRNA from 1 species